UAUGUUUGCAGGCAUGGAAGUACUUAGUGUUCUUUCUGUAAUCAGGGAUGUUUGAACACGAUGUUCAAACAAGCCGUCGUUGAGCCAUGGACGGCGAAUCGACGGCGGUCCCGUAUGGUAAGAACAUGUAUAUUAGAACACUUAGUACUUUCUGCUUGCAAUACAU
rfam:Clostridium sp. CAG:127 genomic scaffold, scf74